rnacentral:rRNA from 1 species
GAUAGCUGCGCAGCCUACACAUGCAAGUCGAACGGUAACAGGAACAGCUUGCUUCUUUGCUGACGAGUGGCGGACGGGUGAGUAAUGUCUGGGAAACUGCCUGAUGGAGGGGGAUAACUACUGGAAACGGUAGCUAAUACCGCAUAACGUCGCAAGACCAAAGAGGGGGACCUUCGGGCCUCUUGCCAUCGGAUGUGCCCAGAUGGGAUUAGCUAGUAGGUGGGGUAACGGCUCACCUAGGCGACGAUCCCUAGCUGGUCUGAGAGGAUGACCAGCCACACUGGAACUGAGACACGGUCCAGACUCCUACGGGAGGCAGCAGUGGGGAAUAUUGCACAAUGGGCGCAAGCCUGAUGCAGCCAUGCCGCGUGUAUGAAGAAGGCCUUCGGGUUGUAAAGUACUUUCAGCGGGGAGGAAGGGAGUAAAGUUAAUACCUUUGCUCAUUGACGCUACCCGCAUAAGAAGCACCGGCUAACUCCUUGCCAUUGUCGCGGACAUACUGUAGGGUGCAUAGCUCUUAAUCAAUAAUUGCUGGGUAGUUAUGUGCCUCCCUACGCGGUUCUUUUUUAAACUAAAUUUUGAAAAUCCUCCGGGUGCGUCUAAACCUUGUGUCUAACAGCCAAUUUCUAUGUUUGAGAUAGAUUUAGAGUUCCUCUAUUUUAGGCGGUGUAUCAUCAUGUUCCCGUCGUUCAUUUCCUCCGCCUUUAUGCUAUUCGCGGUACUUAUAUCCUUGCGUCAGGUGUAUUCCACUCGUACGGGUCGACCCAGAGCGGCUCACACUGUGAUUGCGGAUUCGUGAUAUUGAUGCACUGCGUGUAUGUAUUUGUGACCUGCGCCGCCGUCGGUGUGUGUAUUCACUCUCUUAGUCUAGUCAUGAUAGUUAUGCACGUACUCUAGUCAUUACACUGUCGAUGCUCGUGGGUACUUCCAUGUAAUCAUUCGCAUUGACUCAUCGUAUGACGUGAUGUAGCUGUAAUAUAUUGUAGUAUUUU